rnacentral:misc_RNA from 1 species
CAAGAUGAAUUCAUCUUGCACGAGAGAGAAAGAAAACCAAAUUGCAUAUUUGAGUGGGAAUCAUACAAGAAUUUGAAAUAUACAGAAGAGGGCUGUCAUGAGACAUGUACCUCAAGCUAAAUUCGAACAAACUAAAUGGGCUAGCAUUCCCAUACCAUAUCCAUCUUUCCCUGAUCAACCAGCAAGAUAUAUUCAAUCUGUAGAAAUCCAAAUGAAAUAACACUGCAAAGCACACCCAAAUCUGCAGCAGCAAGCAAUGAAUCCAGAAAGAGAAUGCGAAAAAUUAUGGCAACGUGACCAAAAUCCACUAUGGGCUCACAUAUAUGAACAUCAGCAUCCAAUGGAUAUGGAAGUUUGACUGGUGGUUUUACACUUGUGUACUUGUAAGACAUCUCCACUGCCUUGUGCGAGGCCCUUUGUCCAGAAGCAGUGGCAGACCAACAUUGCU